UACAGAGGUGGCAAGCGUUGUUCGGAAUUACUGGGCGUAAAGGGCGCGUAGGCGGUUCGAUAAGUCCCGUGUGAAAGCCCCCGGCUCAACUGGGGAACUGCACGGGAAACUGACGGACUUGAGUUCGGGAGAGGGAAGCGGAAUUCCGGGUGUAGCGGUGAAAUGCGUAGAUAUCCGGAGGAACACCGGUGGCGAAGGCGGCUUCCUGGACCGACACUGACGCUGAGGCGCGACAGCAUGGGGAGCAAACGGG
rnacentral:rRNA from 1 species